CACCCUUACAGAGAAGGAACAAAUCUGAUCCAGGCUGUGAACCAUGGGUGAAAUGUUCCUGCUCUGUCACAUGAGCUGCUCAGUUCAGCUCAGUAGACAAGAUUUCCAUUCCUAUAUGGUACUGCCAGAGAUGAAGACACAUCCUGGGAUCUAUUUCACAGUUUAUCAAGUGUGACACGAGGUUAAAGAUUUCACCAGGAAACCAUUCUCAUAAAUGCUACUGUAGGUGAAUUUGGAUUCAGAAAAAGAGGGAGAGGAGAAAGACUGAUUGUUCUUCAUACACUUUGGAUGUCACUGAACCAGUCAGCAAGAAUUUGCAGAGUUGUGUCCAUAUUAUUUCUGACACCAAUUAAUUUCUUCAUUUUAACACUCAUCCACUCAAAGAAGUAAUGAAAUACCUCCUGAGUCAUCUGCUUCAGAAUCUUGACCAUACAUCAUCUCCAGAGAAGCUGUCAGCUCCUGUGUGUCAAGUGAAUCAAACAAAAACAGGUUUGCAUACCUGAUGAAUACUGUGACCACA